rnacentral:rRNA from 1 species
UACGUAGGGUGCAAGCGUUGUCCGGAAUUAUUGGGCGUAAAGAGCUCGUAGGCGGUCUGUCACGUCGGCUGUGAAAACCCGAGGCUCAACCUCGGGCCUGCAGUCGAUACGGGCAGACUAGAGUUCGGUAGGGGGAGACUGGAAUCCUGGUGUAGCGGUGGAAUGCGCAGAUAUCGGGAAGAACACCCGUGGGCGAAGGCGGGUCUCUGGGCCGGA